GAGGGGGUCGCGGCCGAUUAGCUAGUUGGCGGGGUAACGGCCCACCAAGGCAAUGAUCGGUAGCCGGCCUGAGAGGGCGCACGGCCACACUGGAACUGAAACACGGUCCAGACUCCUACGGGAGGCAGCAGUGGGGAAUUUUGCGCAAUGGGGGAAACCCUGACGCAGCAACGCCGCGUGGAGGAUGAAGUCCCUUGGGACGUAAACUCCUUUCGACCGGGACGAUAAUGACGGUACCGGUGGAAGAAGCCCCGGCUAACUCCGUGCCAGCAGCCGCGGUAAUACGGGGGGGGCAAGCGUUGUUCGGAAUUACUGGGCGUAAAGGGCGCGUAGGCGGUGCGGUAAGUCUUCUGUGCAACCUCCGGGCUUAACCCGGAGCCUGCAGAGGAAACUGCCGUGCUGGAGUGUGGGAGAGGUGAGUGGAAUUCCCGGUGUAGCGGUGAAAUGCGUAGAUAUCGGGAGG
rnacentral:rRNA from 1 species